GAUGAACGCUGGCGGCGUGCCUAAUACAUGCAAGUCGAGCGAACGGACGAGAAGCUUGCUUUUCUGAUGUUAGCGGCGGACGGGUGAGUAACACGUGGAUAACCUACCUAUAAGACUGGGAUAACUUCGGGAAACCGGAGCUAAUACCGGAUAAUAUUUUGAACCGCAUGGUUCAAAAGUGAAAGACGGUCUUGCUGUCACUUAUAGAUGGAUCCGCGCUGCAUUAGCUAGUUGGUAAGGUAACGGCUUACCAAGGCAACGAUGCAUAGCCGACCUGAGAGGCUGAUAGGCCACACUGGAACUGAGACACGGUCCAGACUCCUACGGGAGGCAGCAGUAGGGAAUCUUCCGCAAUGGGCGAAAGCCUGACGGAGCAACGCCGCGUGAGUGAUGAAGGUCUUCGGAUCGUAAAACUCUGUUAUUAGGGAAGAACAUAUGUGUAAGUAACUGUGCACAUCUUGACGGUACCUAAUCAGAAAGCCACGGCUAACUACGUG
rnacentral:rRNA from 1 species